rnacentral:misc_RNA from 1 species
CCAAAAGAUAAUCUUUCAACUCGAAAGAUCUUUUCCUUUGUGCUGGCUUUGACCGUAUGUAAUUUUGGGACUUAAACAUGGUAGGCCUUACGGUUUACCGGUCCCAAAAACAAUAUAUCAUCCUUAUGAAAAACUUACUGAACAACUAAACAAUGAUUUUAAUAAUCUGUUUAAAA